GGUCAAGUAGCUCAGUGGUUAGAGCACUGCACCCGGUUUGGCAGGGCCUGGGUUCAAUCCCCAGCUUGGUCA
rnacentral:tRNA from 1 species